AUUCAUCUGACGAGUCCCAAAUUGGACAAAAUGCGCGUCCCGAAU
rnacentral:hammerhead_ribozyme from 1 species